CGCAGGGAUUGGUCGGUUAGAUGUUCAUCUACCCAGAUAACACCUCCCCAAGUUCACGUAAAAAAACACUUUAACUUUCUUCCCUUAUCUUCGCUGGGAAGGCAGCCCACGCACGCGACCUCCCCCCUCUCUCUCGUUUCCUCUCCCGAAUCCGCCGCCACGACUGCCGCCAGAGGGAGAGGAACUGGCUCCGCUCUUCCAUGCAACAACACCAACGCCAUCGUCUCCUGGAGGAGUGGGUGGGAGGAGAAGGCGGCGGCAGUUUCGAUCUGUCAUCUGCCUCGACGGGGGAGAAGGCGGAUCGAUCCGAUCGAAGUGGCUGCCGGAAGGAUGGGACGAAGAAGUCGUCGUUGGCUGGCCGAGGGUCAGGUGAGGACGAGGGGAAGCGGCUACGAGCACGCCAUCGGUGUUGGAUCGAUGGUGUCAUGCCUCUGCGGCCGGGAUUAGGCUAGGCAGAUGAGAAGCAGCGGCGCGCCCCCACUCCACCGAGCUCCAUAUCAAUGGCAACAUCAGCGAGGUGAGCAGCGGCUAAAGGCUCCCACCUGAAGAAAUCGAGGCGUUGGCGGCGGAGUCGAUGGGGAGAAGGCCCCGCCUUGAUGCAGUUGGAGACGCUGCUGGCGCUCAGCCUCAAACAGCAAAGUCACCUUGUAACGAAGGUAAACAUCGCCUCCUAUCCUUACACUUGUAGCCUUGAUUUUGAUGAGGGCUGGUUUAUGCGGACCCUGCGGCUAGGGUUUGAUUUUUGUUUGUCUGCGAUGCAAAUUGCGUUGGUUUACCUGACGGAAUCAGGGCCACUUAUCUCAUCUUGGCUACCUUUACGUACUGGCUACUGCAUUGCAAAACCAGAAGCUCGUAGAAUAAUGAUGAUUAUUAAUUAAAAGAAUCUGAAACUCUCUGGCAAUUUUCUCUAGCUGAUAGCAAGAAUAAUGAACAGCAAGCACUACACCCGAUUAGUGCAGCGAAUGCCGAAUCAAGGUCCAUCUGAAUAUAAUUUCAUUAUGUUUGCCUUGUGAUGCAGAUGUGGGCAUAUAAGUUUGAUAUCUUGUUGCCGAUAGUUGCUUUUCAUUUGUCAUUCACCUGAUGUAGAUCCCUGAACCCUUGUGCUUUGAACCUGAACCUGAAGAUUUUAUAGCUGUUCAAAGGAAGAGAUGUUGAAAUGGAACCUCCGUCAGUGUGCUUGGCAUGUGACUACUGUAGUGUGGGUGCAUGUGUAUUCAGUGUCCUUUGAAUGUCCACUGUUGGGUCCUUUGAAUGUCCACUGAUGGGAUGCACACUUCGAUGUGUAGCGAACUCAUAAUUUGUAGUCUCGCUGAUGGUUCAAAUAACGAGAAACUGAAGAAUCUGUUUUGUCAUCAUCCCAGGUUUCACAAAAUUCAAACAUACAUCAUUUCCAUGCCAGGUUACAUAUUUUAGGUGCCAGAGGAUUGUCGAAAGAAACUCAGAUGUUUGAGAAAUUCUACUCACUUCAAGCUCUCAUCACUUGCAUAUCUAUGUGCUACCCACACUGCAUUUUGUUUUUUGAAAUGGCCGCCUCCUACCAGGCACCGCCCAGGAACUUCUCAGGCGGCAGAUUUCGGCUUGUCAACAAGGUCGUCUCACACCCCUCUUCUUCUCCCCUUGGUUCUAUUCGAUUUGGAUGCUCUGUGUAUGAUUUGUUUCUUUGUCAAGCUGCAUAUCUCUUGUGUAUAGUUUCAACUACAUUGAAGUUAUGCAUCCAUUUUCAUUGCAUCACUUACCACAAGAUGUAUCCAAUAAAUCCUUGUAUAUAUAGUGACGAGCGUAAACAGUGAUGUUCGUAAGGAUUUGGUCUACGAACGGGGAUGUAUACAAGCAGUGCUUAUCUCGGGAAUGUGUGACAGUGGUGAAACACAGGAAAAUACCUAGCAAAACAAGUAAGAGGGCCAACGGAUUUUUUUUACAAGGGCCACAUGAUUAUUCAAGGUAUACCGUGGCCCGUGGGUAAAAUCGCCCCUGUACCUUUGUGUGAAGUUUGUUGAAAUGAUUUUGGAACUAGAGCGCUGAUAAUACUUACCUAUUAAGGCUCGCAGUAUACCCCUCCACACUGCUCUGCCAAUUUUUCUUUUGGAAAGACUAUUGUCAUAUGGUCUUCCGGUAUGUAUCUUUCCAAUUUGCAAAGAGUACAAUAAUUUAUAAUUACUAUUGUACUCUUAUUAUUACCUUUGAUUGGAUUUUAAAUAUUGUAGCUCACUCAUCCAUAGUUGAAUAUUAGGGUUUUGCAAGGUAUGAUUGAUGUUAGCUUCUUGUCAUUCUUGGUAUUUUCCUUGCGGCAAUUGUUGUCCUUAUUCCUUACCGCUUUGUUCUGUAAUGGCUGAUCUUCUACCCCAACUUAUGCAUUCAGCUCUCCUUUGCUUUCUCUUAGCAUAGAGUGAACCUAUAAUCUUAAAUCACGAUUGGAUUUUUUUAAAAGGUUUUACAUGUUGAUCAACAUGAUGUUUGUUACAGGAGUACCAUAUAACACAUGAAAAUUAUGAAGAGCUUUGAAGAUUUAUGGAGCAGUCUCUGACUCCAAUUAAAGAUGUACUCAUGCAGUCAGGCAUGAAAAUUGGUGACAUCUAUGCUGUAGAGCUAAUAGGAGGAGCUACCAGGGUACUGAAACUGCAUGCGAUUAUUGCUCUCAUUCAUUCGACAAGUUGGAUUCCGGCGGAUCGGCAAUCGGCAGGCCGGCUGGAUCGUGUGCCCGCCUGUUCUUAAUUUGAAAGAAUAAAUCAUUGGUGCUCUAGGUUGCUGGAGAACCUUGGAGGUUGAUUCAUGGGAAUCAUUACCAGGCGCAAACUCUCCUGUACCUAAUUUUCAUUGAGUUUCUUUAUGGUGCCAGUACUAGGAGCUCCUCGUCACCUGAGUGGUUGAUUCAUUUGAAUCGUUACCAAGCCGGUGAGGACGAGUUGUUGUCUCCUAGAGUGGUGGUCGAGAUUCGAGAGUCAAGGGCAGCGGUGAAGGUUAGAGAGGAAAAUAAAGUAAGCAGCGAGCAGAUGUAGCGUGGGGUGCAAGGGAACUAGGCGGCUAUCAAGAAUUUCAGAUGGUGGUGAGAUGUUUCGGGUCGACCAUGUGGAAUUUCUAUGUGUACGCUCAUGAGGGUCCCUCGCCGUGCCGUGGACACAGCGGCCUCGCCGGACCAUGGUGCAGACGAGCCAUGAGCUAACGUAGUUGGUGGCUCCCGUCACACACACCGGCUGGUUCUACUCCGGCAAGCCACCGCCGCCGCUGCACAUCUCGAUCUCUCCCCGUGUCUCCUUCAGGCAAGGGUGCUGGACGCGGCGGACGGGAGAUAAAGCGGUGGAGCUGUCAGUCCGUCAACGCUCUUUCUAAAGUGGUGUCGGUAAAAAUAGCUAACUUGUAGGUUGUUAGUACUGUGCUACAAUUCCGCUUACUUAUAUGGAAAGAGACAAGAUUCAUUUCCAUUGCCUAUGAUGGAUUUCGAUUUGCUUUUCA